rnacentral:lncRNA from 1 species
UUGUACAAAAAUAAUUUCUUACAUGCCCAAUUAGAUGAGGUUUUAUUCUAUUUUAAAUCAAAUUCAAAUAGAAAAAAAUCUAGAAGAAAAAAGAUACCCAAAUAAGGUGGGGUGUGAACUAUUGGCACCCCCUCCCCUUUCACACGUGCUAAGAAAUAAAGAUGAGAAAAAUAAUGCCCCUCUUCCCUUCUUGGCAUGAUUUCUAGAG